GCCUAGGUGGCUCAGUUGGUUAAGCGUCCGACUUCAACUCAGGUCAUGAUCUCGCAGUUCGUGGGUUCGAGCCCCUCAUCAGGCU
rnacentral:tRNA from 1 species